GGGAGUGUCCGGACGCCUGGUGGGUCCCGCGGCCUUCAAAGCCGUUGAAGCGCCGUACCAACGGCGCUUGGUGGGUUCGAUUCCCAUCCGCUCCCG
rnacentral:tRNA from 1 species